AAAGACCAGAUCCGCCGGCUGGACAGGAGGCCACAUGCAUGACUGCGUGCACAGGGUCAGUGGGGCCCCACCUUGCAGUGGGCACCAGAUAUACCUACCGAGCUUUGGCUAAUUCCAGCACCAGCCCGCAGGGGGCCCGGGAGGAGGGGACUGGCCUGGGCCUCCAAGGCGUGGCCAUCUUUGAUGUGCUUGGUCGGUGUCUGAUGGCCUUGAGGUGCCACCUUGGGCCACAGCCCACUUUGCUUCAUCCUGCAUGCUGGACGCAUGGCCCACCCGUGUCCCCACUGUCCUGAGCCUCGCUGGGCACUGAACGUGAAGCAGGCGGUGGUGACCCUCCCGCAGAUCCAUGCGGGGGGGCUCCAGGGCCCUGAGACCCUCGAGGAGGUGA
rnacentral:lncRNA from 1 species